AAGACUAUACUUUCAGGGAUCAUUUCUAUAGUUUCUGACUUGAGAAAUGUGUUUCUAAAGUGAUUGGUCUCGCUAACCACGAUGAAGAGUCGUGAUAUUCCUCUCUGAGCGUGAAGCGGAUGGAGAAUAAUGAUUCAGUUCAUAUGUUGUCUGUCAUUGAUGAUCGUUCCGCGCUUCCUGGUGGAGUGCUGAGGAGAGGAAUAUGAUCAGAGUGGU